CCUGUGGGCCCGGUAUCAGGUCCGCAUCUCGUGGUAUUUUAAAAAAUACGGCUAAUAAUGAAACUGAAAAAACCUUUGAGAAUAUUCCAAGCAGUUUGGAUACUCGGAUAUGGCAGUGUGCGACUCACUGGUAACAGCUGUUCGCUCAAAACUGGUUGAGUGCAGGGCGUGGACCGCAUGCUCCUCCUUUAGCACCAGUGUGCCUGGGGAUGCUUUGCUUUUAACGUUAAAAAGGACUAAUGAGCAUCAUCAAUAAAGCAGAUACGAGAACUUAAUGCACCACCCUGGUGGAGUGUUAUUUGGUAUUGGCCCAUCUCCUUUAUGGUUUGGGUCUCUCAGCUGUGUCAUCAGCUCUCCUGAGG